CAGAGUAACGAUCUCCGGAUCGAUUACCCGCCCUCAUGUCAUGGUUUUGGUGGGGUCAUCGUGCCCGCCGAUCAUACUUCCCAGGAGGUGUUGCCCUCGCCCGUACGCCCGCGUGCGCGGAGGGAGGCAACCGCCUGGGGUCAUUUUUUUUAUAGCAAUUCUGUCGAGAUGAUGAAGUCUGAGUGUGAAUAAAACAAAAGCA
rnacentral:misc_RNA from 1 species